rnacentral:rRNA from 1 species
GACGAACGCUGGCGGCGGGCUUAACACAUGCCAGUCGAACGGAAAGGCCCUGCUUUUGUGGGGUGCUCGAGUGGCGAACGGGUUAGUAACACGUGAGUAACCUGCCCUUGACUUUGGGAUAACUUCAGGAAACUGGGGCUAAUACCGGAUAGGAGCUCCUGCUGCAUGGUGGGGGUUGGAAAGUUUCGGCGGUUGGGGAUGGACUCGCGGCUUAUCAGCUUGUUGGUGGGGUAGUGGCUUACCAAGGCUUUGACGGGUAGCCGGCCUGAGAGGGUGACCGGCCACAUUGGGACUGAGAUACGGCCCAGACUCCUACGGGAGGCAGCAGUGGGGAAUAUUGCACAAUGGGCGGAAGCCUGAUGAAGCAACGCCGCGUGCGGGAUGACGGCCUUCGGGUUGUAAACCGCUUUCGCCUGUGACGAAGCGUGAGUGACGGUAAUGGGUAAAGAAGCACCGGCUAACUACGUG